rnacentral:rRNA from 1 species
CUACGAAGGUCCCAAGCGUUAUUCGGAAUCACUGGGCGUAAAGAGUAUGUAGGCGGUUUGGUAAGUCAGGUGUGAAAUCCCGAAGCUCAACUUCAGAACUGCAUCCGAUACUGCUAGACUUGAGUAAUGGAGAGGCAGGUGGAAUUCUCGGUGUAGCAGUGAAAUGCGUGGAUAUCGAGAGGAAGACCAAUGGCGAAGGCAGCCUGCUGGACAUUUACUGACGCUGAGAUACGAAGGCUAGGGUAGCGAAAGGGAUUAGAAACCCCAGUAGUCC